UACGUAGGGGGCAAGCGUUGUCCGGAAUCAUUGGGCGUAAAGAGCGCGUAGGCGGCCCGAUAAGUCCGCUGUGAAAGUCAAGGGCUCAACCCUUGAAUGCCGGUGGAUACUGUCGGGCUAGAGUCCGGAAGAGGCGAGUGGAAUUCCUGGUGUAGCGGUGAAAUGCGCAGAUAUCAGGAGGAACACCGAUGGCGAAGGCAGCUCGCUGGGACGGUACUGACGCUGAGACGCGAAAGCGUGGGGAGCAAACAGG
rnacentral:rRNA from 1 species